rnacentral:rRNA from 1 species
AUUGAACGCUGGCGGCAGGCCUAACACAUGCAAGUCGAACGAGUGGCGGACGGGUGAGUAAUGUCUGGGAAACUUCCCGAUGGAGGGGGAUAACUACUGGAAACGGUAGCUAAUACCGCAUACCAUCUGAUGUGCCCAGAUGGGAUUAGGUUGUAGGUGAGGUAACGGCGACCCUAGGCGACGAUCCCUAGCUGCUCUGAGAGGAUGACCAGCCACAAGGGAAUUGAGAAACGGUCAAGAUUCCUACGGGAGGCAGCAGUGGGGAAUAUUGCACAAUGGGCGCAAGCCUGAUGAAGACAUGCCGCGUGUAUGAAGAAGGCCUUCGGGUUGUAAAGUACUUUCAGCGGGGAGGCGUUACCCGCAGAAGAAGCACCGGCUAACUCCGUGCCAGCAGCCGCGGUAAUAC